rnacentral:tRNA from 1 species
AGAGACUUAGGAUAAAUAGACCAAAGGCCUUCAAAGCCUUAAGCGGGAGUUAAACCCUCCCAGCCUCUG